rnacentral:tRNA from 1 species
AAAGCAAGGCACUGAAAAUGCCUAGAUGAGUCUCCCAACUCCAUAAACA